GUGGGGAAUAUUGGACAAUGGGCGCAAGCCUGAUCCAGCCAUGCCGCGUGAGUGAUGAAGGCCUUAGGGUUGUUAAGCUCUUUCAGUGGGGACGAUAAUGACGGUACCCACAGAAGAAGCCCCGGCUAACUUCGUGCCAGCAGCCGCGGUAAUACGAAGGGGGCUAGCGUUGUUCGGAUUUACUGGGCGUAAAGCGCACGUAGGCGGAUCGUUAAGUCGGGGGUGAAAUCCGGGAGCUCAACUCCAGAACUGCCUUCGAUACUGGCGAUCUUGAGUCCGGAAGAGGUGAGUGGAACUCCGAGUGUAGAGGUGGAAUUCGUAGAUAUUAGGAAGAACACCAGUGGCGAAGGCGGCUCACUGGUCCGGUACUGACGCUGAGGUGCGAAAGCGUGGGGAGCAAACAGGAUUAGAAACCCUUGUAGUCC
rnacentral:rRNA from 1 species